GACGAACGCUGGCGGCGUGCUUAACACAUGCAAGUCGAACGGUGAAGGGACCGGUUUUUGCUGGUUCUGGAUGAGUGGCGCACGGGUGAGUAACACGUGAGUAACCUGCCCCCUUCUUCUGGAUAACCGCAUGAAAGUGUGGCUAAUACGGGAUAUUCUGCGCCUGCUGCAUGGUGGGUGUGGGAAAGAUAUUGUUUCGGUGGGGGAUGGGCUCGCGGCCUAUCAGCUUGUUGGUGGGGUGAUGGCCUACCAAGGCGGUGACUGGUAGCCGGCCUGAGAGGGUGGACGGUCACACUGGGACUGAGACACGGCCCAGACUCCUACGGGAGGCAGCAGUGGGGAAUAGUGCACAAUGGGCGCAAGCCUGAUGCAGCGACGCCGCGUGAGGGAUGGAGGCCUUCGGGUUGUAAACCUCUUUCGCCAGUGAAGCAGGCCUGUCCCUUUUGUGGGUGGGUUGACGGUAGCUGGAGAAGAAGCGCCGGCUAACUACGUG
rnacentral:rRNA from 1 species